AUAGAGAGUAAAUAGAAUCCCCAUAUAUGCUGUGGAAUUGGCCGCAGUGUUUCUACCAGGACACCGUAAUGUCCGGACUAUGCGGGAAAGCGACUUUCAG
rfam:Sporosarcina psychrophila strain DSM 6497, complete genome.